rnacentral:rRNA from 1 species
GACGAACGCUGGCGGCGCGCCUAACACAUGCAAGUCGAGCGAGAACCAGGGCUUCGGCCCUGGGGACAGCGGCGAACGGGUGAGUAACACGUGGAUAACCUGCCCUCGGCACCGGAAUAGCCCGAGGAAACUCGGAUUAAUGCCGGAUAGCCCCACAUCCCUGCGGGGAACGUGGGAAAAGUAGCUUCGGCCUCUGGCCGGGGAUGGGUCCGCGGUGGAUUAGCUUGUUGGCGGGGUAAUGGCCCACCAAGGCGACGAUCCAUAGCUGGUCUGAGAGGAUGAUCAGCCACACUGGGACUGAGACACGGCCCAGACUCCUACGGGAGGCUG